UGUGACCUCAAAUCAGGUAGGACUACCCGCUGAACUUAAGCAUAUCAAUAAGCGGAGGAAAAGAAACUAACAAGGAUUCCCCUAGUAACUGCGAGUGAAGCGGGAAAAGCUCAAAUUUAAAAUCUGGCAGUCUUUGGCUGUCCGAGUUGUAAUCUAGAGAAGUGUUAUCCGCGCUGGACCGUGUACAAGUCUCCUGGAAUGGAGCGUCAUAGAGGGUGAGAAUCCCGUCUUUGACACGGACUACCAGGGCUUUGUGAUGCGCUCUCAAAGAGUCGAGUUGUUUGGGAAUGCAGCUCAAAAUGGGUGGUAAAUUCCAUCUAAAGCUAAAUAUUGGCGAGAGACCGAUAGCGAACAAGUACCGUGAGGGAAAGAUGAAAAGAACUUUGGAAAGAGAGUUAAACAGUACGUGAAAUUGCUGAAAGGGAAACGCUUGAAGUCAGUCGCGUUGUCCAGGGAUCAACCUUGCUUUUGCUUGGUGCACUUUCUGGUUGACGGGUCAGCAUCAAUUUUGACCAUUGGAAAAAGAUUAAGGGAAUGUGGCAUCCUUGGAUGUGUUAUAGCCCUUGGUUGCAUACAAUGGUUGGGAUUGAGGAACUCAGCACGCCGCAAGGCCGGG
rnacentral:rRNA from 1 species